rnacentral:snRNA from 1 species
GCUCGCUUCGGCAGCAACAUAUACUAAAAUGGAAUGAUACAGAGAAGAUUUAACAUGGUCCCUGCGUAAGGAUGACAACGCAAAUUCGUGACAGCGUUCCAUAUUUUU